CGCGGUAAUUCCAGCUCCAAUAGCGUAUAUUAAAGUUGUUGCAGUUAAAAAGCUCGUAGUUGAAUUUCGAGACCGGUUUAUUGGUCGUGCUUUUGUACGUACUGGUAUUAUUGGUUUCUCCUUUCUGACGAAUCUUAAUGCCAUUAAUUUGGUGUUUUGGGGAAUCAGGACUGUUACUUUGAAAAAAUUAGAGUGUUUAAAGCAGGCUCACGCUUGAAUACAUUAGCAUGGAAUAACGAAAUAGGACAUUUGAUUUUAUUUUGUUGGUUUCUAGGAUCGACGUAAUGAUUAAUAGGGAUAGUUGGGGGCAUUAGUAUUCAAUUGUCAGAGGUGAAAUUCUUGGAUUUAUUGAAGACUAACUACUGCGAAAGCAUUUGCCAAGGAUGUUUUCAUUAAUCAAGAACGAAAGUUAGGGGAUUGAAGACGAUCAGAUACCGUCGUAGUCUUAACCAUAAACUAUGCCGACUAGGGAUCGGAUGAUGUUAAUUUUU
rnacentral:rRNA from 1 species